rnacentral:rRNA from 1 species
GACGAACGCUGGCGGCGUGCUUAACACAUGCAAGUCGAACGGUAAGGCCCUUCGGGGUACACGAGUGGCGAACGGGUGAGUAACACGUGGGUGCUCUGCCCUGCACCUCGGGAUAAGCCUGGGAAACUGGGCCGAAUACCGGAUAGGACUCCGGACUGCAUGGCCUGGGGUGGAAAGCUUUUGCGGUGUUGGAUGGGCCCGCGGCCGAUCAGCUUGUUGGUGGGGUGGUGGCCUACCAAGGCGACGACGGGUAGCCGGCCUGAGAGGGUGACCGGCCACACUGGGACUGAGAUACGGCCCAGACUCAUACGGGAGGCAGCAGUGGGGAAUAUUGCACAAUGGGCGCAAGCCUGAUGCAGCGACGCCGCGUGAGGGAUGACGGCCUUCGGGUUGUAAACCUCUUUCAGCAUCGACGAAGCGAAAGUGACGGUAGGUGCAGAAGAAGGACCGGCCAACUACGUGCCAGCCGCCGCAGUAA